rnacentral:rRNA from 1 species
GGUGAUCCCUACAUAGCGGGUGGGACCCACGGCGAAUGGUUCAUCAAGUCUUCAAAAAAGAAUAUAUACGAUUCGAUUGCAUAUACUAACGGAUGCGAUCAUACCAGCACUAAUGCACCGGAUCCCAUUAGAACUCUGCAGUUAAGCGUGCUUGGGCGAGAGUAGUACUAGGAUGGGUGACCUCCCGGGAAGUCCUCGUGUUGCAUCCCUCUUUUAUGUUUAACCUUUUUUUUUU